GGAUAUAUAAUAUAUGAUAUUUUGGAUAGUUUAAAAAAGGUAGCUUUUACUCGUGGUGUUCAGUGCUGGGCUUACCUUCCAUGCUUUGCUAAUCCCUUCUCCCCCAGCUCUCUUAGGAACUCUGUUUCCCCAGACUCAGCUUCCUCUCAAGAUUCUUGGUCAAAAAUGUCUCAGGUCUCCUGGUCCUUUAAGGUAUGGUUCCCUCAUUGGGGUCAUUCCUUUUUAAGGGACCUUCUUAAGUUACUUGUGGGUCCUCUGUUAACACCAGCCACAUUUAUUGGUAGGUGCAUAUAUUGAAUGUUACCUUAUGGAUUGUUUUCUAGACUCUUAGGUCUUUAUGAUCCUUUUGGAAAUGGAUAGAUAUUUGCCACUAUGAUUUAAAAAAGAAAGGACUAGUAAAAUGCUUCCAAAAUACUGUUCUAGGAGCCAACAGGUCUCCCUAGCACUUGGUUUGUGCUAUUACCUCUUUAACUGUAUCAUUCUUUCAACCCACAGAGCUGCAACUCAUAUUUUAAUUCUGCUAACCUAGGUGAAUACCUUUUUCUGUACUUUUUAGCAUUUUACUAUUAUGCUAAUAAUGAUAAGAUUUGCAGAAGAGAUUAUUUUUUUGAAGAAGUCCUAAGAUCCUGUGUUCUCCUACAGCUGAUAAUAAAAAUAUUGGUUAAAUGAUUAUCAACUGAAAGAAUUUUAGGGACUCAGAUACAUAACUUUAGAAAACAGGAGCAUUAGGAUGACCUGAAAACAUGUCUACAUAUGCAACUAUCUAAGCCUACAAUUCUUAAUGUUUUUAGCAUUUGUAGAGUACAUUUGCUAGGGACUGUGCUAACUUCUAGGGACAUAACAGUGAAUUAGAUAUGGCCUUUGCCCCAAAGGAGGCUCAAAGAUUUACAGAAGCUCCAAACAUUUGGGAAAUAGCCACUGUUUAAACACAGGACCUAGAUAUAUUUAAACAUAGGCAGUUAGUAUCUUAUGGAUUAGAAACCUAAAGAGAUAAUUCAAUAUGGUCUUGUUUAUUUCUGCUUACCUACAUGAUAGGUAUUAUUUUUGACAGUGAUAGCUGUUCUAUAGUUGGAAAUUAUGAAGCUGAUAAAAAUGCCCUAAUUGCUAUUUCCUGCAUUUCAUCUCAAAGCUUCUUAAACUUGAACUCUUCAAGUGAGAUUUCUUGUGGAAAUAGCCUGAGAAGAACCUGUGCACUGUGAAUUUCCUUGGGCUCCUGUCUAUUGCCUGGCUAGUACCCCAUGUUGAGCUAGAAGGUGCUAGCUGAGGAAGCCCAGUAUCUCAGGCAUCCUACUGUUAAAUCACCGAGCACAGGGAAUUAGCCCAGGGGAACAAAAGGGAGGCCCCAUUAACCAUAGCGGCCUUCUGGCUGCCUGUGGACCAGCCAUGAAAACUUUUACCCAGUGAAUUUUUUAAGCUGACAUUUCUGUCACCCAGAUUGCUGUUCCAAAUCCAUAUCUGCUUUGUUUAAUAUAAGAACUAGGUACUGAGUAAGAAGCUAGUUCUGGUAAACAAUCCCUAGGGCUAUAGUCCUUUCCAUCCGGACAAAUAGAAGACAAAGCCUGCAGAACAUCCCACUAAUGCUCAAGAUCAGCUUCCUCAGUUGAAAGUGCACUUAAAAUGAGGAAUGUAAUGGCAAUUGACAGGGGGCUUUAAAAAGCCCUGUUUUUGUGAAAAAGCAAGAGGGAGGGCUGCUCAUUAAUGAAUGCAAAUGAUGGCUUGCUUUCAUUUUACAAAAUAUUGAGAGGCGGUGUUGGGUAUUAUUAUCAAAUAUCUAUUCACACACACACAAAUCCACUCUAUAUAUCUGUGAACAAGUCAGAGACAUAUAUUUUAUAUAGUAAGAUAUUCACUGCUUCUGAGUUUCUAGAGACUGAUGAAAAAUAAGAGUCUUCUCUAAGCCAAAGAGUUUUCAUAAUUGAUGAUUUUGGACUUCAGAGACAAGAAUUGACCUUCUGAUCUUUUGGAUGGUCAGAGUGGACAAGGAAAUCAGGCUCUGCUUUUAUCCGUCAUUUGAUACUUCCUUUAUUUAUGGCCUAUCCCAGAAGGCUGGGAACCUUCCCACAUGUGCAAUGUACUCCUUGCAGGUUAAAAUCAAGACCUUGGCUUCAUUUUGAAAACAGCACGCAUUAGCCAACUUGUUUUAAUGCUUCAUAUUUUCCAUUUACAGUGAUUAUAACCUGUUUGGAGCUUUGUUUUUAGACCAAGACAAUUUUUAAUGAAUGUUAUGAAAGCUUCAAGUCUGAUGAUUUAAUUAUCAGAACCCAUGUUCCUGCUAGAAAACUCAACAAAACAUUUUGCUUGUGGGAAUAGCUCAACAAAAAAUCAGGCAAGAUAGUUCAACAGAAAUGGCAUAGUUAGGGCUCUUUUACAAGUCGACUGGGCUCGAUAGAAGGCAACAUUCCUCAAUCAACAGAAACUUUGGCAGGGAUGAUUUCUUCCCAUAGCUGUCUCGCUUACUGCACUAAAGGGAAUAUAAAAUCCUGAGCAAGCAAAUUAAUUUGACAAAACACUUAGAAGCUGAAUUUAAAGUGUCAGUGGAGACCAUUGGAAAAGUAUGUCGAGUGCCUUUAGUGAAAAUUCUACUUACUGCCCACUUGUAGCCAACAGAUGAGUUGUUAUAACUGUCAAAGGAGUCAGACUAUGAAGAAGAGAACAUUUAUCAGAGUAUAACAUGAUGAAUACAGGGUGAACAUGAUUCCUAUGUCUUGAUUCUAGAUUGGAACUAUCCAUUGGGAUGUAAAGGACAUUAUCCAGAUCCAUUGUCUUAGGAAUUGUUCCAAAGAUUUGUCCAAAGAUAGCAGAAAACAUCCCAUAAACCCACAAGUUAUUUUCUGAACACUUUACUUAUAAAUAUAAUGAUCACAUGAAUUAUCAUUCAAAAUUUUGUCUGGGAAGAAUGUGAGGUUGGAUGGAAUGCUGAGACUGCCCUGGGCAUCAUGAGAAAUAUGGCCACUAUGUGUAUGGAGAACGUGCAGAGUAGACCAGGUGUCUGGUGAUAGAGGAGUGAUUGAUGGCUCCUCCACCACCUCUCAGUGUGAACAUAUUUGUUUAUUGUAAUGUCUCUGUUCCCCAUUCCUUUUCCACAUGCCCCUGUCUAGCCAGCAGCAAGCUACUAUGGGCAAACUUUCUUGAACAAAAGAAAUAACUAAACUCAGGUGUUUGCGUUCAUUCGUUAAUUUUGGGGUCAUUUGUUUAACUGCUUUUGAAGCAACUUUUACCCCUAGGAAUGUGUAGGGCAGUGGCUUUCAACCUACACACCCUGGAAUAUAAUCAGUUGUGAGGUGUAUCACAAGUAAAAGGCAAGGUACCAAAUGUGUAAUAUAUUAUUUUCGUAUAAAUUCAGGUGAAUUGGGGGUUAUCGCUGUAAUGAUAUAGGUCUCACUUACUUGUAUUGCAAAAUGCUCCCUGGAAUAACAGAAUGGGGUUAGAGCUUGGAAUUAGCCUAUUUUGUUUUAAAAAUCUGGCUGAGUUAAAUGGAGUCUCUACUGUGCCAUUGUGCCUCUUACCUGUGUUCGGCCAGGGGAAAAAGUUGAGAAUCUGUGUUUCACUUAUCUAUUGCUGCAUAACAAACCACUCCAAAACUUGAUGGCUUAAAAAAAUAACAUUUAUUUUGCUCAUGAAUUUGCAACUUGAAGAGGGUUAAAUUGGGAUAGCAUUCUUUUUACUCCACUUGGAAUCAGCUGGGCCAGCUCUAAGGCUCAGGGCUGGUAUCAUCUGAAUGCUUGCUCACUAAUAUGUCUAGGGAAGGAAUGUGAGCUGUUGUGGCUGGGGAAGCACUGUGGCACACUGUAUUUUCCAAAAGUGGUCACAGUUAAGUUUCUGCUUCCACAUGCUCUUCCAUAACCUUGUCACUCACCCAUCAAAAACAGGGGUGAAUAUUCCUUCUGCUUGUUCCCAAGAAGGAUGGGGAAUGCUAUGACCAAUAACAUAUGGCAGAAAUGUUGCCAGCCUUGACUUCAGAGGGUGGGCUGCAAAAGUUUUCAUGGCUUCCACUUGGAAUCUCUCUCAGGAUGCUCACCCACUCUUGGAAACCCAGGCCACAUGAAGAGGGCAUGGGUAAGGGUUUGGCCAACAAGCUAAAUUCUAGACUAACAGUGAGGAUCCACAAUCACACAUGUGAGUAAAUGAGUCUUUACUCACUCCAGCCCACAGGUCUGAGCGUUCCCCGCUGAUACCAUGUGGAGCCGAGAUGAACUAUCCACGGAGUCUCAUCCAAAUUGCAGACAUGUAACAUUGUACUGUGCUACCUAUUGCCCAAUGUUUGAAAACUGCUCCAGUUUUCCAGUUAUUUAAGGUGGAAAGGCCACCAAACAUGGCAAAAGAGAAUUGGAGAGUGACUGGGAGACCAGAAAAAGAUGUGAAGACCAAACAGCCUGUACUCUUACCAUUUAUCACGCUGCAUGCUCCUAUAAGGUUGUCCCAGCUAACUGAUCAGUAAUUUCUUGGAUGGAAGGAAGAUAGACCAAGGCAACUGCAUUUGGGGUAACAAUGGCUGUCGGUGUCAAGAACUGACGGCGUGGCAAAGAGGCCAACAGAAAGCUGGAAAGCUGGGAAGGGAGAGUGUCGUAGGAAGACGGAGAGGGAAAGGCCCAGCAAGACCAAAGUAACCACAGACUCCUUGCACAUGUGAGGGAGGAGGAAAAGCUGACUUGGCACCCGCCCGCUGGUGCUGUGGGUCGUCCUGACCCAGGACUGUACAUCGUGCCCUGACAGACUUGGGUGUGUCCUGCUGGAGCCCACGUGCUUAACUCUCACAUCACCAGUGAGUAAUGAGCUGAGGUCAGAGGCUGUUCUCAUAGGGGCCUUCAGGGGAUAUAAAUGGCAACCCAAUUCUUUGUGCUAACAGACGACCAGAAUGUGUAGAAAAGGGACAUCCCCACGCCACACUCUAGCCAGUACUUUCACUGCCAGCCCACUUAACAAUGAAUGCAAAUUUCUCCAAGUUGUUUUCAUUGCUUGGAAUUUUAUCCCCUUCCUGCUCUUGGAUGGGAAAGAGUGGGUGAAAAUUAGCAAGUCAAGAUGACACACUCGUUGCCCGGAUGCUGGAGAGUCCUGCGUGCCCCGUAAUCAGAUUUGUGAAGUGAAGACUUUUAUGUCUACUUGGAGGAUUGUUACUUUAGUGCUGACUUAUUUCUUCCCUUUCUUUCCACUGUGAGUGACUGAGACUCAUAGACUUUGACUUUCAACCCUGAAUUCUAAACUUGUCUCAAAAGUAAAAAUAAGUUGGUAAUCUUUCAUUUUAUUCCCCCCUCAACUAGCCUUUCUCGGAUCGAUGCAACAGCUGGACUCCAUCUGGGAAGGACUGAGUUCUGGGGACAUGCUACUUUCCCACAUUUACUGCCCCCGGUGUGAACUGAGCCAGCCUACCCCCUUUCUCUGGGGUCUGUUUUUAAAGCCUUGUACCUUUAUGGUGCCAAUAGCACUUUGGGGAAAUUUAAUGGCUGCCGGUAAAGGCUGCUAAUCUCUGACGGCUCAGGUGAGGCAGUAUGAGCAGGUGGGCAGGAGCAGUUUCUUCCAAAGCAAUUUCUUCCAUCAGGUACCUGCCAGCAGUCUCUACCAAGUAUCAUGUUUCAGCUAAUUGAGUGGUGAAGGAGUUAAGCAAUACCUGUCUUGAAAGAGAAACUGACAUGUAAACCGAAAGCUACACUAAAAAUGAAGAAAAAGUCAGACUUUGAUUUUAAGCACACUCUGCCCAAUCCCCCCUCCCUAUCUAGCUGAAAAAGAGCUAGCAAGUUCAUACAGGUGGUCUCAUAGCACACUAAGGCAACACAUGAAA